rnacentral:rRNA from 1 species
AGGGUUUGAUUCUGGCUCAGGAUGAACGCUGGCGGCGUGCCUAACACAUGCAAGUCGAGCGAGAAGCUCAUGACGGACGCUUCGGUUGAAGUCACGAGUGGAAAGCGGCGGACGGGUGAGUAACGCGUAGGCAACCUGCCCUUUGCAGAGGGAUAGCCUCGGGAAACCGGGAUUAAAACCUCAUAAUACCGCAGUGAGACAUCUCACGGCGGUCAAAGAUUUAUCGGCAAAGGAUGGGCCUGCGUCUGAUUAGUUAGUUGGUGGGGUAACGGCCUACCAAGGCGACGAUCAGUAGCCGACCUGAGAGGGUGAUCGGCCACAUUGGAACUGAGACACGGUCCAA